GUCACUAGCUAACCUAAGGUUGGUGCCACUUAUCUUUUCUCUAAAGAUGACACCUAGCCCCUUUCAUGCAUGCAUGACACCUUGCAACUUUUGUAUUAGCCAAAACCUAAAUAAUUAGAUGAAAGGUUAAAGAAAACAAACCUGAAGAGUUGCAGCCAACGUGAGUUUGAGAGAAGAAGAAGAAGAAGAAGAAGAAGAAGAAGAAGAG
rnacentral:lncRNA from 1 species